CAGACAACAAGAGGCAAUCAACCCUGAAAAAAUGCUGGAGCAUGAAUCACAGCUGACCAGAAAUUGUGAGCGUAUCAUCCAGCCAGCCCACUCUCAGUGAUACUGGAUUUCAGCUAGCAUUGCAGAUGAAGCAGCAUUGGUGCACAUACAGCUGUGUACAGGGGGUGCACAGAUGUCACAUUUGAGGGCGGCAGAAGAGGGCACC